UAAAAAUGUAAAGUUUGUUUGAUGUUUUCGCCGCGACGAUUCGAAAUGAAACGAAGAAAUUAGCAGAAGUGAAGGUCACCGGAGAGGUGAAUGAGGAUUUUACCACUGGAACUAGAGAGCUUGGCUCUGACUGGUCUACUACAGCAAGGAAUGUGCCAGGGGCCAAUCUGAUGAACAUGUGGCAGAAGAUUUGGCAAUGGGUGAAGAAACACUGAGAUUGAAAUGCAACCACAGGUGUAGGCUUCACCCAAACUUUUCAGACGGAUGCGAGAUACAAAGUUACCCAAGUAUAAAAGUAUAAA